rnacentral:misc_RNA from 1 species
GAACUGCGAUAAGUAGUGUGAAUUGCAGAAUUCAGUGAAUCAUCAAACUCUUGAACGCACAUGGCGCCCUGUGGUAUUCCUUAGGGCAUGCCUGUUCGAGCGUCAUCUAAACCCUCAAGCCCUGCUUGGUGUUGGGUGCCUGUCCCGCCCCCGUGCGCGGACUCACCUCAAAUCCAUUGGCGGCCCUCGUGCCGGCCCCGAGCGCAGCAGAAACGCGGUCUCGUGGCCCGGCGGAGCGUGCCCCCAGAAGCAACAUUCACCGUUUUGACCUCGGAUCAGGUAGGGAUACCCGCUGAACUUAAGC